rnacentral:rRNA from 1 species
UACGUAGGCAGCAAGCGUUUGUUCGGAGUUACUGGGCGUAAAGGGUGUGUAGGCGGUUGCUUAAGUUUGGUGUGAAAUCUCCCGGCUCAACCGGGAGGGUGCGCCGAAUACUGAGUGACUAGAGUGCGGGAGAGGAAAGUGGAAUUCCUGGUGUAGCGGUGAAAUGCGUAGAUAUCAGGAGGAACACCGGUGGUGUAGACGGCUUUCUGGACCGUAACUGACGCUGAGACACGAAAGCGUGGGUAGCAAACAGG